AGUGGGGCUACGGGAGUCCGGCUCCCGUAAGUGAAGUCGGAGCGAAGUCCGGCCCCCGUGGGAGUCCGGACGGAGUCUACCUGCAAUUAAAGUCAGGGGCGAAGUCCGGCUCCCUUAGGAGUCCGGAUGAAGCUUACCAGCGAUCGAGGUCGAGGAUGAAGCCUAGCUCCUGUGGGAGUCUGGGCAAAGCCUUCCAGCAGUUGUGGUUGGGGA
rnacentral:lncRNA from 1 species